rfam:Spirochaetes bacterium RBG_13_68_11 RBG_13_scaffold_12212, whole genome shotgun sequence.
GCGAGCGUCGUAAAAUGGCAUUACCCAAGCUUCCCAAGCUUGUGUCGGGGGUUCGAUUCCCCUCGCUCGCU